UUAUCGGUAAAGAGUACCUGUACAACCAGACAGGCCAGAUUCUCAAGGAUUAUAAACAAGCUAUUGAGACCAAGGCUGAGGAAGAUCCUGUUCAGGAGGAUGAAGUCCUUACUGACUCCAUUGACAGUGUGGAAGACCUCACUGUCUCCACUGAGGGCUUGACUGCCACUGUUGGUAAUGCUGCUGUGGUGUUGGAAGAAACAACGACCUUGGUUACUUGAGCUACUGAUGCAUCCACUAUUACUGCGACAACAGUAACUGAGCGUUCUUCUAGACCCAUACUUCAUUUGCCAACAGAGGCAGAAUACCUUGAGAUGCAUGAGAAGGCUACCAAGCAACCUGGUCUGGGCCUGCUGAACACCCUCAACCGACUGCAACAAGUGUGCAAAAAGAGCCCUCUGCAAAGUCUAUCAGACACAGCGCACCUGCUUGCGAUACUGAUACUGUUGGACCAGAUGACAUCCCUUGAUAUGACAAGGUUGUGGCCAUGGCUUAGUUCUUCGUGUACAUCCGUGACUGCGGAGCACUGACCAACAGCCAGGUUGACGAGGUUGUUGAGCUGUGGGAGGCCGACAAACGGCCGACAGUCUUCCCAGAACGCUUUCCCUCCCACCUGAAAGGCAGGUUUCGAGCCACGAAGAGAAAAGUUGCUCCAGGCAUCGAAGCCACCCAAAAAUGUUUACUUGGACCCAACACUGGAGCAGCAAGUUUCCGGGACUGCAACCGAUACAGGGAGGCAACCAUUAUCCGUCUUUUGAGUGUUUUCCCCUUCAAAACAAACAGCGAAUUUCCAUGGUGUCAAAGGCGUAUGAAAACAUACGGAAUUUGAUCCAUGGAAAUUCCAGAGUUGCCAUGGAAACUAAACUCCAGCUGCCUCAACUAGGCCAGGGAACUUUCAUACAAUGGCUCUGGAUAGGCUGGUUCUUAACCAGGGUGUGAACAGCCUCCACAGACAGCCACCUACAGUCUACUUCCUCCGCGAACCCAACCCCAGCAACUGCCUUCUGGGCAAACAGACGCCCAUGUCUUCCAGUGCCCAGUCAACACAGCAGGGACAGCCAGCAUCAAACAGCGCCACCAUCUUGACACGCCAGUCCCUACGGUGUCUGCUGCUACAUGUACCAACACCAUCGAUCCCCCCAAUGCCCCAACCUUUGGUAAUAAUGGUUACACCAAGUUGUAGUGUACCUUUGGCCUCCUCUUGCUUCGCUAUGGAUGUGUCCUAUACUACUCAGCAGUAUAGGAAGCGGAAGAUAAAACAAGAGCAGUUGGGUGUCCAUACCAGAAAAGACACAAAAAAAAUCAGAUAAAAUUAUGUGUAAGAAGUGUGGACUGGAACGUACCAGUGCCAUCCAUAGGCAGUACUUUGGUAACUGGUACUGUUCAACCACUGCCACAACAUCUUUUGAGGAUUGGAAAGAGCUACUCAUGGAUAGGGGCUAUGGGAGGAAGAAAGAUGAGUGACGAUGUUUGUGUUUGUGAAAUAUUGAUUAUUCUUUUCACAUAUGUGCAAAAUACUUUUUUGUUUGUGCAAAACUGAAAACGACAGUGCAUUUAUUGUUGAUUACUGAUAGUGACAGUUUAUUGUGUGUCAAAUACUGAUAGUGACAGUUUAGUGUGUGUUCAAAACUGAAAGUGACAGUGUAUUGUGUAAUCAAAACUGAAAGUGACAGUGUAUUGUGUGAUCAAAACUGAAAGUGACAGUGUAUUGUGUGAUCAAAACUGAAAGUGGCAGUGUAUUGUGUGAUCAAAACUGAAAGUGACAGUUUAUUUUUUGUGAAGUACUGAUAGUGACAGUUUUUAUUUUGUGUAUGUACCAUUAUCAGUGACAGUGAGAGCAAUGACAAAAAACACUAAACUUUGAAGCUGCCUGAUAAAAAAUGAUGUUUUACAUUAUUUUUAACAGAAGGUUCCAAGCCCUUGUAAAAGCAGAGGAGAAUUUUAUUUAAAGUUAUGUCUUCUGUUCAACAACACAACUUCCAUAGUGUAAUGGUAACACGUUUACUCUCACAGUGAAAGAUCCUGGUUCAAAUUCUGGUGGAAGUCAAAAGUUGGACAGAGACAUUUUUUUCCAUUUAUAAUACUUACAUACAAAUUAAUUUAAGAAAUCUAAUAGCAAUAACAUAUCUGAGUAACACAGUAAUUAUACAGCAUAAACCUGUUAUGGAUUGUAAUACUCUUAUUUUCAAAGAAUUUUUAUAGAUCUAAUAUUCAAAACGGGUUUGGAAAAUGACAGUCAAAAAGGUUAAUAUAAGA